rnacentral:rRNA from 1 species
CCAGCACCCCGAGUUGUCGGGACGAUUAUUGGGCCUAAAGCAUCCGUAGCCUGUUCUGCAAGUCCUCCGUUAAAUCCACCUGCUUAACGGAUGGGCUGCGGGGGAUACUGCAGAGCUAGGAGGCGGGAGAGGCAAACGGUACUCAGUGGGUAGGGGUAAAAUCCUUUGAUCUACUGAAGACCACCAGUGGCGAAGGCGGUUUGCCAGAACGCGCUCGACGGUGAGGGAUGAAAGCUGGGGGAGCAAACCGGAUUAGAUACCCGGGUAGUCCCAGCUGUAAACGAUGCAGACUCGGUGAUGGGUUGGCCUCGAGCCAACCCAGUGCCGCAGGGAAGCCGUUAAGUCUGCCGCCUGGGGAGUACGGUCGCAAGACUG